rnacentral:rRNA from 1 species
CCCUACGGGAGGCUGCAGUGGGGAAUAUUGGACAAUGGGCGCAAGCCUGAUCCAGCAAUGCCGCGUGUGUGAAGAAGGCCUUCGGGUUGUAAAGCACUUUUAUCGGGAGCGAAAAGCGCGAGGUUAAUAACCGCGCGUCAUGACGGUACCUGAUGAAUAAGCACCGGCUAACUUCGUGCCAGCAGCCGCGGUAAUACGAAGGGUGCAAGCGUUAAUCGGAAUUACUGGGCGUAAAGCGUGCGUAGGUGGUCUUUUAAUUCCGUUGUGAAAGCCCUGGGCUCAACCUGGGAAUGGCAGUGGAUACUGGAAGGCUGGAGUGCGGUAGAGGAGGGUGGAAUUCCCGGUGUAGCGGUGAAAUGCGUAGAGAUCGGGAGGAACAUCAGUGGCGAAGGCGGCCCUCUGGACCAGCACUGACGCUGAGGCACGAAAGCGUGGGGAGCAAACAGGAUUAGAUACCCCAGUAGUC